rnacentral:rRNA from 1 species
CCUACGGGAGGCAGCAGUGAGGAAUAUUGGUCAAUGGACGAGAGUCUGAACCAGCCAAGUAGCGUGCAGGAUGACUGCCCUAUGGGUUGUAAACUUCUUUUAUAAAGGAAUAACACGAUGCACGUGUGCCUUUUUGCAUGUACUUUACGAAUAAGGACCGGCUAACUCCGUGCCAGCAGCCGCGGUAAUACGGAGAGUCCGAGCGUUAUCCGGAUUUAUUGGGGUUAAAGGGAGCGUAGAUGGGUUGUUAAGUCAGUUGUGAAAUUUUGCGGCUCAACCGUAAAAUUGCAAUUGAUACUGGCAGUCUUGAGUACAGAUGAGGUAGGCGGAAUUCGUGGUGUAGCGGUGAAAUGCUUAGAUAUCACGAAGAACCCCGAUUGCGAAGGCAGCUUACUAAACUGUGACUGACAUUGAUGCUCGAAGGUGUGGGUAUCAAACAGGAUUAGAUACCCUAGUAGUC